rnacentral:rRNA from 14 species
AUUGACUUCCAUCUAUGGCCCUACCACCUGAACAUGCCAGAUCUCAGAAGCCAAGCAGGGUUUAUCCUGGUUAGAACUUGGAUAGGAGAUGACUUGGGAAUAAGCUUUAAAAAAUAAAUA